rnacentral:lncRNA from 1 species
GGCUUUCUUCCCCAUUCUCCAUUCAUUCAUGCCAAAUAAAAAAAAUCUCAAACCAUUUCGUUAACAUACAACCAGUAAUAAGUCAAAAGCUAAACUUAACCGAAAUCAGCAUGUAUUGACAUUAUAUUAAUGUAUAAACAGAGAGAGUUAACAAAAUAAAGCACCCAAAUAUCAACAUUUUCUUUCAUGUUGCAUAAUUCUCUCCACUGCCAUCCUAGCAAAAACCCACCAUAUAACAACACUGAUUUUGAUUUUCGAUUUUUGUAAACAAGAAAAACAGAAACACUUCAUUCAAACCCAACCACCAUAAGAUUGUGCGACUCGUAAGUCAAAGAAACAUAAUCCUUCAUCGCGCGAGUCACCAUCAACAAAGCAAAAAGAGCCAAAAGAAAAAAAAAACAAAAGCAAACACCUAAAUAAUGACACUAAAAAAAAGUUUUUUUUUUUUUUAACUUAAAAGACCAAGUCAAUUGCUUGGAUUAGGACAGUCCCUAGCGAAGUGACCUGAUUCACCACAGCUAUAACAAUUUCCCCCGCCGCCGGUGCCGCCUCCGCCUCCGCCUCCAUACCUCCCGCCGCCGCCGCUGCCCUGGCUACACUCCCUAGCAAUAUGCCCACUUUGCCCACAGUUGUAACACCCACCGCCGCCGCCGCCGUACCCACCUCCUCCAUAUCCGCCGCCGCCGCCAUAUCCACCUCCUCCACCGUACCCACCGCCGCCAUAACCACCGCCACCUCUCCCUCCCCUAGAACCACCUCCUCCUCGACCACCGCCGCCUCUUCCGCCUCCGCCACCGCCUCCACGGGGGCCACCCUGAACUGGGUUUCCGUUGGGACCGGUGACGUCAGCGGCCUUUGUGCGGGAGCCGUCAGAUUCGAUCACGAACUCAACCUCUUCGCCUUCGCCGAGGCUGCGGAAGCCCUCGACGCGGAUCGACGACUGGUGGACGAACACGUCCUCGCCACCGUCAUCUGGGGUGAUGAAGCCGAACCCCUUUUGGUCGCUGAACCACUUGACCUUGCCUGUAACUCGUUCGGAACUCAUGUCUGAUAACGAAAAGAAAAACCCUAACCCUAGAGAACCAAGAAUGAGAGAAAAGAGGCUUUGUGAGAAUUAUUGAAGAGGUGGGACUGCAGGGUAGUAGUUAUAUAUAUUCAUUGAAGCUAGGGAACAGUGUGUGUUUGUCGCUGAGGAUAAUUAUGUAAUUGACAAUUGGAAAAAAACUCAUACACCUUUAUUUUUUGAUUUUUUCCCCUUAUCUUCCAUAACUUUCGCAAUAUCUCAAUAUCCUCUACGAAAAUUUUUAACCAAAAUAGCUUUCUUUCUUUUUUUCAUAGCGGGCAUUUUUUUUUUAAUUUUUUUAUACUGAGAAAGUAAGAGUAUUUUCAAAAAAUUCUAUUAAUUUUACUAUUUAAAUAUUUAUUUUACUUACCUAUGUGGUAAAAAAGAUAGUGAAAAAAUAUAUUAUUUUUCAAAAGACUCUUCAAAUAGAAAUAAGUUAAUAUUAUUUUAAUCAAAUAAAUUUUUUUCAAAGAAAAAAUAAAUGAUAAUUAAAAUACUUCUCACUCUCCAACAAAAAAUAACAAGAUAUAAAUUGUUAGGAAAUUGAGUUUCUUCCCAAGAUCUCUCCAAGCAAUUUAUCAAGCAACAAAUUAAUAAGAAAAAUUAAAUGGAGAAUAUACCAAUCACACAACACAAGAUUUACGUGGAAAACUCCAAAUCCGGAGAAAAACCACGGCCGUUGUCACAAGACAACCAGAGAAAAAUAUUCACUAUGUGGUAAAUUAUUACAACCACUCUCAGAAAUAAUUUUCUCUCACCCAAACCCCAAAUACAUAAUCUUGAGAAAUACCCCUUAACAAAGCAAACUCGUAAUACCCAUAUUGAGGAGCCAAAUGCUCCUUCAAUAUAACUACAUGCUUAAGAAUAUUUCUCUUUCUCAAUUUCUCACCAAAACUUGGAUUCCUUCUCUGGGAUUUUGGAUACAAACAAUAAGGAGGAGCACUCCUCUAUUUAUAGCCACCAGUGACUACUGUUCAUCUUGCGGUUACUGUUCAUCUUGCGGCUACUGUUCAUUUUGCGGCUACUGUUUAUUUUACGGCUUUUCUUUUCUUCAUUCUCCCACUUGGAGAUUUGAUUGAUAAUCAAUCAAUCUCCACACCACCCUUGUUGUCUUCACCUUUAGUCAUAAUUCUCAACAUAGAGAAUUAUCAUACUCCACCAUAAAGAGUAUACCACUUAGAAUUAAUUACCAAUUUUAAGAAUUUUUUUUUUUCCCGGCACAUGUCGAACAUAUUCGCUGAAAAUUAUGGUGCAAUUCUCAUGCUUGGUUUCCCUGAGAAUUUUUCAGCCAUGACAUAACUUUUCCACCACACACCUUGCAUUUAUACUAAGCCAAUGCCCGCAUGCAAACUUGUGGACCCCACUGAUCAUACCAUGUUCUCUUUCAUGGCAACUUGGAGAUCUACAUGCCAAAAGAACUAACCCAGUCUCCUAUCAAAAGGAAACUCACCAUCUGCGAGAAUAUCAGUGUCUCCUUUACUGAUUCUGGAGUAAUUUGCCGAGCCCACUCCGCUUUCUUGACAAUUUUCUUGAGGUGCCAAAAUUGUCCACACCUUCAAAUCUUUGUGCAUACCAGAUUGGAUACACCUUUGACUUGAAUUCUCCACAAGCCAAUAAAAUCAUUCUCCCAUUAAUUUUUCAACAACAUCAAACUUCAACCAAGUUUGAAAAACACCAGCUGCUGACAUAUUUGCUUCAUAUUCUCUUCACCACAGAUUAUUUGGAUUGGCUCCCACUGCUUCACGUGAACAGUACCGUAUACGUGAAUAGUACCCCGACACCAAAACUUCAAUCAAUGGCUCUGAUACCACUGUUAGGAAAUUGAGUUUCUUCCCAAGAUCUCUCCAAGCAAUUUAUCAAGCAACAAAUUAAUAAGAAAAAUUAAAUGGAGAAUAUACCAAUCGCACAACAUAAGAUUUACGUGGAAAACUCCAAAUCCGGAGAAAAACCACGGCCGUUGUCACAAGACAACCAGAGAAAAAUAUUCACUAUGUGGUAAAUUAUUACAACCACUCUCAGAAAUAAUUUUCUCUCACCCAAACCCCAAAUACAUAAUCUUGAGAAAUACCCCUUAACAAAGCAAACUCGUAAUACCCAUAUUGAGGAGCCAAAUGCUCCUUCAAUAUAACUACAUGCUUAAGAAUAUUUCUCUUUCUCAAUUUCUCACCAAAACUUGGAUUCCUUCUCUGGGAUUUUGGAUACAAACAAUAAGGAGGAGCACUCCUCUAUUUAUAGCCACCAGUGACUACUGUUCAUCUUGCGGUUACUGUUCAUCUUGCGGCUACUGUUCAUUUUGCGGCUACUGUUUAUUUUACGGCUUUUCUUUUCUUCAUAAAUUGAAGAGAAAUAAAGUAACUCUACAAAAUUGAAGAGAGAUAAUUAUUUUUUAUUUGAAAAAUAUUAAUUAAAGUAUCUUUUAAAGUCUUAAAUAUUAAUGUGACUUUUUAAAUAAGUAAUAAAAUCUUAUUUGAAGAGCCUUUUGGAGAUGCUCUAAUAGAUACUAUAAAAAUCUAUGGGGAUAAAGUAGUAAAAGUAUAUGAUAUAAAGUGGUAAAAAAAAAGUGAUAACAUUUUAAUUUACAAGGGGAUAGGAAUAUUUCCACCCCACUAUUUUUGUAAAUCCACCACAGUUUAAAAAACAAUUACAAUGAGUUCACAAUAUUUUUAAAAAAUACAAAUUAAUAAAAAAUUUAUACAAUUAAUCAAUUAAAUCCUUCUAUAAUUUUUUUUCUUAAGUUCUUUUAUCAUAUUUGAUCAUAAAUUUUAAUACAAAUUUUAUUUUAAUAUUUAUUAUUAUGAUAUAAAGAGAUAAAAUUACCCUAAAAAAACAUGAGUAUUAAUUUUGGUAUUUAAUUAAAAUGACUAUCUAAUAAUUUCGGUAUUUAAUUUUGUGACUUAUAAUCUAGUAUUUCUAAAUGAAAUCUAAUUAUUAUUUCACUGUCCUUACGUGUAAAUAACAUAAAUUUGACAGUCUAAUAAUUUAUAUGAGAAUUGUGCCAUAAAGACACUAUGUUAAUUUAAUUAAAAAAUAAUAUUCAUACUAAUAAAGUAGUAUUAGAAAUAAUAAGUUUGGUACAAAUUAGAAAAAUAUUAAAGUUAACAUAAAUUCUUGAUAAUUUUACUUUAUAAGAGUAAAAUAAUCAAUUUAAACUUAUGUCAAAGCAAUCUUUGUAAUCAAAUAUACUAAAAAAAUCUAAGUCACAAAAAAGUGAAUUAAGAUAUAUUUAAUUAAUUAAUUCUCCAAAGUUUUUCUUGAUAUGAAAAUUUUAAAAAUAAUGUGACACUUUAAUAAUUAUAUUUUAAAAAUGGGAUGGAUUUGCAAAAAAUGUGGGGUGGAGAUAUCAUUACUUUUUACAAGAUAACAAAUGUUCUAAUCUCUUAAAUUUAUUUUAAUGAAUAGUUAGACCUCCAUUAUUUCAAAAAUUGGUAUCAAAACUCUCUUUUAUUAGUAAAUUUCAUCUAUAAGGAUAUUAAUGUUCUAUAAUCUUCAUGAAGAUGAAUAUAUUAUGAUUUUUUUUUAUAAACGAAAUUCAGUAACUAUUACUAUUUAAUAGUGUAUAGCUGUGUUUAAAACAAAAAUGUUGACUUAUUGUUUAUUUUUAAAACUAAUGGAGGUGAUUAUCUAUUAGGACAAACUUUAAGGGCCUGAGUGUUAUUUCAAUUUAUUGAUUAUUACUUUGCUUCCAGGAUAAUUUUUUUUUUUCCAGGAUAAUAUCUAAGAGACGGGAUAGUGUUUUUACUGUGUGAUCUGACGGAUGGGUGUUUUGAUGGAGGUGAAAUGGGCCGUUGGAUCCAUGAGUGGGGACUACAAGGCGUGUUUGGCGUGAUAACGAAAAGACGUUUUUGCAGUGGUUUAUGAUUUUUGACUAAAACGAGCGAAAAGUACUUUUGCGAGAACAUAAACAAAAAGUAAAUUUUUUUUUUCAAUAACUAAUUAAUAGACUAUUUGUUAGCAAGCAUUUUUCAGGUAAGAUAUUAGUAUUGAGGUGCUUUUGAUGUGUUUUUCACUUUAGUAAAUUUAAAACAACAUAUAAAAGUUGUGUAGGAUUCUUUUAUUAAAGUUGAAAUAAAUGAUUUUAGAAUUAUAUUUAGUUGUUAGAGUUGGCUUGUUUUAGUAUAUUUUAUAAAUGAAUUCCACAUUAGAUAUCUUUUUUAUUUCAUUUAUAAAUUCAUGCUAAUAAUCAAUGAGAUCUAAUUAGUAAAUUCGUUAUCAUAUAUCCUCUCAUUUACAUUUAAUUAUAAAGAUGGAGAUAAUAACAAUAGGUAUGAAAGGAUGUUUUCGCGAAGCUCUUUAUGACUAUCAUAAUAGUGUUGUGUUUUCAAAAAAAAAAAAAAAUAUUUAAAAAAAAUCAUUUUAAGUAAAUUGACAUAUGAUGUGAUAUCUAUUAAAUAAAUUCACAGAUUUUAAAUUAAUUUAUAAUUUAUUAUACCCCUCGUUCUACAACUAUCCAUAACUCAUUCACGCUUGCAAUGAAUGCAAUGUUCAUCAAUUAUAGAUAAAUUUUGGGAUACGGGACGUUACUUAUUUUAGGAUUAAAUUUCUAAACAAAAUAAAACAAUUCUAAAAGCAUUUAUGGAUGAGAUGCUUAUGGUGGAGCGUUGUCCAUAAAUCCUUCCAAAACCAAACACACCAUUAGUUUCCCCAGGGGGCUUUCUGGUAGAGGUGGUAAAAAUAUCCGCUUGAUCCAGACCCGGAUCGUGCUCAGGCAUUGUGGGUCAGAUAAUGGGUAUGAAGUCAGGUUGGUCUUGGGCAUCACUUGAUAAAUUCAGAACCUAAAUUUUAUUAAAAAAAUUAUAUGAUAUAUAAUAUUUUAAAUAUUUAUAUUUAUUUGACUCAUUUAUUAUACAUAUACUUAAAAUUUAUAUUUUCAUGUCAAAUUUUAUUGAAAUAAAUUUAAAAUUUAUAAAAUUACCAAAAAAUAAAAAAAAUAUACACAUAUAAUAUUAAAAAAUAUAAAAUUUGAAUACCCAAAUUAAAACCCGGCCAAGAUCCGGUCAUUGUAAUACCCGGAUCCAGCCCUGGGGUUUUACCAACCCUACUUUAUGAGAAUGGAGAUGAAUUGGCGAUUUUAUCCUUUCCUUCCGAGGUGGAUAGGUGUUGAAACUUGAAAGAGGACGCCCGUGGGGCCCACUAAAAUAUCCGUUGAAAAGACUGUCCCUUCUGCAAGGUGCUGUUUGUUUCCAAAGUGCUUUUAAACACUGAUUUUUUAUUUUUGGGUAAAAGUGAUUUCCACAAAAUAAAAUAAAAUCAGAAAAGAAAUUGAAAACUGAAAAGUUUGGGAGACUGGUCAAUAAUGGUCAACACUGACGGUCAAAGAAACCAUUAAGCAUGUGCGGGAUGGGACGGCACAGUGCUUCUUAAUUAAUUAUCUUUUAAAUUUUUCUUUUUUUAGGAAAAAAAAACUACAUGACCACUAAUUAUAGGCAUUUGUGUCAUUUUAUUUAAAAAACUAAAAAAUAAAAUAAAAGACCUCACGUUAAAAUACCUCUCUAAAAAUUAAGAGAAAGCCAUUAGCCAUGUGAUUAUUUUUUUCUUUUUUUUUUCCGAUACGAGCCAUGUGAUGAAUUAAAAUCUCUGUUUAUACUUUAAAUAUAACAAUUUUCUUAGAGAUGGGUAAAAGUUUUCAUCACCAAGCCGAACAAAUUGAAAUUUAGAAAUAGUUCAAUUUUAAACCAAUUGAUUCUUAAUUCAGUGUAAUUUUUUUUAAAAAUAAAACCAAAAUAAAAAAAUAAUCUUUUAAAAAGACUGAGAGUCAAUUUGAUUUGAUUCACCGUAGUAAUAAUGGUUCAAGUUAAAUUACUUUAAAACCAAUUUUGAUUUACUCUGAAACAUUUAUCUUUAUAUAUUUAAAAAAAAUGAAUGUAAUUUGUCAACUUCAUUUAUGCUUCGUUUCCUAAACUGGAAUCGGAAUGAGCUGGAAUCGGAAUAGGCAGGAAUGAGAAUGGGCUGAAAUGAGAAUAAGGAAUGGGAAUUAAAAUAAAUAGUUUACUUGAACUAUAGGAAUCGAAAUCGAAAUGAGCUGGAUUGUCAUUAAUGUGUUUACUUUGUCUUAGAAUCGGAAUCGGAAUCGGAAUGAAUUAGAUUGUAACAAAUUACUAAAAAGUACUUAAUGGAUUAUUGUCAUAAUAAUUAUUAACUAAUAUAUUAAUUAAUUGUAAAAAAAUUUAAUUAAUUAUAAUAACUAUAAUAAAAAUUAUUAUAAAAAUAUAUUAACUAAUAAUAUUAAUAUUAAUUACUUAAUUAAAACAAUAUAUUAAUUAUUGUGAUUAUUUAUUCAAAAUUUAUAAUUAUUGUUAAUAAUAAAUUAAUAUAUAAUUAAUAGUAAUAAUUAUAUUAUGUAUUUAUUUAAUAAUACUAAUUUUAUUAAUUAAUUAUAAUAUAUGAAUUAAUUAUAAUAAUUAUUAUAAUAGUAUAUUAAUUAAUUAAUUACAAUAAUAAUAUAUUAAUUAUUAGUAAUAAAUAUAUUAUUUAAUUAAUAAUAAUAUAUGAAUUAAUUAUAAUAAUAUUAUUAUAGUAUAUGAAUUAAUUAUAAUAAUAUUAUUAUAGUAUAUUAAUUAAUUAAUAAUAUUAUUAUUAAUUAUUGUGAUUAUUUAUUCAAGAACUAUAGUUUUUAAUAAUAUAUUUAUUUUAUUGAUAAUAAUAUAUUAAUUAAUUAAUUAUAAAAUAAGAUAAAGUGGGUAUUUUUAAUUUUAAGAAGGAUAAAAUGGUCAAUCUUAGAAAUGAGAGACUCAUUCCCACCUCCCGUGAGAAUUAAUCUCCCAUUCUCCAUUUCCAAAUAGUGAUGGGUCCUAUCAUUUCGAUUCCGAUUCCUACUCUAUAUUUACGAGGUAAACGGCAUCAAUCAUUCCGAUUUUCCAUUUGGACAAGUAAAGGCACUAUUAUAAUAAAGAAUUUUGUAGAUAAGUUGAGAUUACCCAAUUAUCUUUUAAGCCCCUCUAAUAAAAUUUUUAUCUCCAACAGUAUUAAUAAUAUUAAAGCCGUUGGAUCUGAAAGUUUUUACUUGAUUAAUCAAGAAGACAAUUGAUUUUUAUGGAUUUAAGUAAUGAUUUCGACGGGGUUGCGGUGUGUCUGUUGGAUGUGACAAUUCAAGGGGGCAGAAAUUGAAUCUGGCAAUGGAACGUCAAAUUACAGCUUUUCCCAAAGCUUUUCCAGGAGAGCGAUCCAUCAGGUCUGGUCAAACAUCAAUGGCUCCUUCUUUGGCGGAGUCAGGGAGUAGUAUAAUAGUACCACGGCUGCAGCAAUGGACAGCUUGAUUGCUUCAGGUUGUUGCUUGCCGUGCACACGUUCUUCAUCUCGUCGGCAAUGAUUAAUAUUGUCAUUGCCUUUUUAUUAUCGUGCAGUGUCAAUAUUUGAACCCAGAUGGACUGCUUAUAUUCUUUAACUUUGAAUACGAGAGGACGAAAACAUUCCCACACAAAAAUGAGCUACCACUCAACUGGCGAUUGGCUUCCAAACAUUAUUUUUUUUAAAUUUUAUUUCCUUAAUAGAUUUUUAAUAUCUUACUUAAACAAUCUAAUCAGUUUCUUUCAUAAUAAAUUAUUCCUGCUUCGUACUUUGAUUGAAGGUAUGGGUUCAAAUUAAAAAGCAAAGCUUAAAUAAAUCUUAAACAGAAUCACGGAGCAGGUCCAAGCCAUAAAAUAGAAAGGCUAUAAUAUUUGGGCCUGAGACUCUCCGUCGGUUUUUGGGCAGUCCAUAUUCGCCCUCCUACAAAACGUACUUUUCUCUUGCCUGUUUUACCCUUUUUAAUACAAAUCUCUUUUUCUUCCCAAAUUAAAAAAAAAAAAAAAAACAAAUCACUUUUCUUUCUGAAAGUGCAAAUGUCUUUUAGGUCAAGUGCAAUGAUAUAUUUACAAAGUUAAGUAUAAAGUUUGUAUCUUAAAUGAUGCGUCAACUAUAAAUGCAACGUGUUUAUUAAUAGUUGACUUUUUAAGUCAUUACUAAUAAUAUAAUUUUACAGUACAAAUGAAUGAAUGACAUGCCACGUGCCAUUUAAUUUUAUAUACAAGUUUACAUUUUGACUUUGUAAACAUAUAAUAACUUUUGAAAAAAAAAAAUCAUUAUUAUUAGGUGAUAUUGUUACUUUGAUUUCUUACAUAAUGAUAUAAGUUAUAUUAACCACAGAAUUACACCAAACAAGUUAAGUGUAAUUUACUUAAAAGAACUAUGUAUUUAUCUAAUAUAACUAAGUGGUUGAUGUAAGUUACAUUAUUAGGUAGAGGAUAAAUUCCCCUUAACCAAGUCUAACUCAAGUGUUAAUUCAAAUUUCUGAAUUUGUUAAAUUAAUAGGCUGAGAGCUCCAGUUAGAUAGAAAUGUAGAGCUUCAAUUACUUUGUCAGAAUGUAAUCAAUGAAGCAACUUAUUCAAAUGAGGAAGCUCGUUGAAUUUAAAGGGAAAAAAGUAUGAAACAGAGAUUGUAUUACAGAGAACUGAUGGUACCUCUAAACGAGUAAAACACCUUAGCAUAGAUACAACAGUCCUUUAUUUAAAUUUUAUGUGCAUAAGAUAUGAAUGUAUAAUUUUCAAUUUAUCAUCAUGAUUUAUUGAAAGUUUGAAACGCUUGGAAAACUUAGCAUAGAUUUGUUACCUUCAUCAAUAAACUUCAAGUUAUUGUCUACUAUUUCUCUUUGCUGAUCUAAAGCUUUGGUUUCAGAUCUAGAGAACUAUGGUCAUUUGAUUGGUUCUCGCUGGAUCUUUGUUAUAUAUAUACACACAUAUAAAACAUCAAGUGUGUGUAUUAGCCAUGAAUAAAAGCAUGUACUCAGCAUGCGCACAGAUCGGAGCAUUUUCAUGCCCAAAACUAAGCGUAAAUGGCUAUCAAAUUGAGCCGAUAUGCCUUGUGGACUGGUUCAAAAUCACAGCGAUCUCGCUGCAAAAGCUCCAAAUGCAAAGAGGGUUUUAAUUAGGUGACCAAAUAUAUGUGUAAAAUGAGAGGAUAAGGGCAAGAGGAAAAUGUGCUACUACAAGCAACUGGCAAAUUAGGUUCUUUGCUAAACAACUGCAACAACAAUAUGAUCACAGCAAUGCUAAUUUAUAUACACUUUUACGCGAACGAACAAAACAAAACAAAACAAAACAAAACUUGUUUGUACCUUUUUUUUUUUUUUUUUUUUUUUCUUUCUAUUGAUAAUGUUAUAGGUGCUAAUUAAAGUUAAUGAAAUGGUCGAUCCCUGGACUGGUAGGUUGCCAGAGUAGAUUUCGCUUCAGGUAAUAGAGCUUCGAUUGAAGGUUCAGCAACCAAAUGAGCUUGCUUGAAUGACCACUCAAGUACUAUUAGCACCUCCUCUUGUGCAAGUGUCUUACUUUCAGGCUGUUUUAUUGCAAUGUAACAUAGCAACGUCAGUGCAGGAAUUUGAAUCAUUUGUUCACCAAAAUAGACAAGUUGAAUUAAGUGCUUGACACCUCCUGCAUUAAUAAUCGCUUUUGAGUGAGUUUCAGAGAGGUAAUUCUCAGUGGUUGCAAAUUUGUUAAGAGCCACGGUUGCUUCCAUUAUAACCUCAGGUUCCCUUUCAUCAAGCAGAUUCACCAAUGGCCCAAUGAUUCUUGUUUCCGUUGCUCGAAAAGUCCGUGCCAAGUUCCCUAUUGCCCUGAUGCUUGGAAUAAGAAGGUCCGAAUCAGCCUUUUCUACAAUGUGGAGCAACUGUUCAAGCACAGCUUUGGCAGCCGUUGAGGUGGGCUUGAACGCGGAGCGUCUCAAGUCAGAGUUUUUCUCAGCUACAGCUGUGAUUUCCAUCAACGCCAUAGCUGAAAAGUGCUUAACAUCUUCAGGGCCCUUCUCCAACAGGACCGCAAAGCAUAGAAGCGCUCUUGACUCCGUUAAGUUUCGACAUAUCGACAAAUUUCCCUUAGAGAGCUUCCACAAGGCCCUUGCAGCCAUUGCCUUCAUCUGUGCUUUGACCGUGGGGUCCUCUGAUUCCCUCCCUUUAGUACUUGUACCGCCUAAUACUUGCUGGUCUUGGUGUUGGUUGUGAUGGUUCGGUUGCAUCGCGUACAUAUGACUGUCUGGCUGCGCUUGUUGGGCAUUGGUAGGAGCUCUGGUUUUGAUUGCUAUGGUGUUAGUGACCACAUUCGAGAUAGAACUAUUAGCUUGGUUAGGCAUCGGACAAGAAACUUUACUAAUGUUUCCAUUGCCUUGUUGUUGUGGUGGUGCUGUCCUAUGAUCUUUGGGAUUCUGAGAAUUACUGGCUACUAAAGCUGAAUGAAGCGAAGAAAUGUUUUGCUUGCUUGCAAUGGCAUACUUACUAUGUUCUUGAACGGUUUCAAAAGCAAGAUGACUAACAAGAAAGCGAACGAUAUUGUUCUGUGCGAAAUGGUCUUGGCAUUUCGGAUGAUUUGAAGCCAAUUCAGAGACAGCCCAAGCCACCACGGAUUGAACUUUCAUAUGACCGUCCUUGAGGUUUUUGGCAAACGUAGAGCAAACACCGGCAUUCACAAUCUGUUCGACACUUUCGGCGUCGCGUCCUAACAAUCCUAUAGCCCUCGCAGCAUUCUCCUGACCUUCUAAUUCCCCUUCAUAAGCUAGUUUCAGCAGCGGAGGGACGCCACCUUCUUCUAUAAUCAGCUUUCCGUAACGAUCGUUAUCGCGAGCCAAGGAGACCAAUGAUGCAGCAGCAUCGCAUUUCUCUUCCAUUGAACCCGUGUGAAGAAUUGCAAUUUGUUCCCAGAUGAGACACAAGAUAGGCUCAUUGGCUGCAAUUGGAGGAAGACCCAGAUACUCAUCAUCAUUCUCCUCCGAAGAAGCAGACACACGAAUAAGCCACGAGACGUCCCCGAGAGAAUUCUCAAGCUGCAUUAAUGUUUUCCGAAAUGCCGCAGCUGGGAUGAUGGUGAAAACUCUCUUGAGAAUGCCAUUUGCGCGGCAUUUGACAACCAGUUGCAUGGCCUUAUCAAGAACCUGCUCUGUAUCAUCAACGAUCCUGCGCGUUGGACGUUGGUAGCUCACGCUGCUAACACGUGCAACUUGCCGCAACAGCACUGCCAGCUUCUCUGUCUUCGCCUGCAGCUCUUGACAAUCUUGUUUAAACGAUUGUGCCUCGUUUGCUAUCUUGGUGAUGGUGUCCGCUAAUUGUAUGUUCCUCGCCAAAUCUUUCAAAAUCGCCUGGUCCCGGUCCGCCAUGGUCUAACGCGGACCUAAAAGCUAAUAACAAUCGUUGGAUCAAAAUCAAACGCACUUUCAAAAGGGUGAUUUUUUUCCGCCCUUUCCGGUACCUUGUGCUAGAAGGCAACUUUUUUUUUUCUCUUUGGGCGAUGUUUCAGUUAACGGGCCAUUUGGGGUGACUGAAAAUGUGUUUGUGUGCUACCAUGAAGGUGGUGGUGCGGUGGCGCCGCCGCCUUUGAAUUCAGAGACAAUAGAAAGAGAAGAGAAAGGAGAAAGAAUUAGUUCUUGUAAAAUUGAAAGGGUCAAACGAGAUUUUCUGCAAGUUUCAUGUAAAAGAAUAACCGCCAUUCAUUCAUUCAUUCAUAAAAACUUUCUUUGCGUGCGUUAUAUAUAGCAAAAGAGAAAAUGGUUGGUUCCAAAAUAUUAAGAGGAGUUUUUAUUAUCACAAUUGACAAGAAGUAGCGCUUGGUGCCACCCAAACGUAAGUGAUAUAUAUAGUAUGUUCUCUCUUGGGGGAUCGUUGCAUCAGUUAUGACCUGUAAAUUCUUAAUGUAUAAACGGUGUUAUACACGCGCUUGAAUGGAGAUGAAGGAAGGGUUGUUGCCAACGAGUUUCCAGAAAGAUGACCCCCUUUGGCCAUUAUGUUUCUAAAUUCACAAGUCAUAGUGAUGUGAUAAUUUAUCUAUUAAUGUUCUUUCCUUUUUCUUUUUCUUUUACUAUAAAUCCAACUGUAGAUAAAUUCCAACUCCGGUGGAGUUGGAUUAUAUACCUUAAUCACUUAGAAAGUCUUUGGUAAUCUUGGUGUACAUAUCCUCUCCAGUUGAAUAUUUUUUUAUGAGUGUCUUUUUAACUAAUUAUGUAAGGGUAAUAUUACGAUUCAUCUAACCACUGAAAAAAAAUAUAAUUAAAUUAUUUAAAAUAUAACUUGUAUUUAUUAGAUACGUCCCAUAUAAGUUUUUUUUUUUUUU